AAGAGCCGUAUGAAGCGAGAGUUUCACGUACGGUUCCGUGAGAGGCCAAAGGGGCGGUUCCUUUGGCCUACUCGAC
rnacentral:ncRNA from 1 species